ACCACUGUGGUUCAGUGGUUAGACUACUGGGAGAGACCAGGGUUCAAAUCCCUGCACAGCCAUGAUG